GUCCUUCAUUUCAGAAUAGGACGUAAGAAAGUGCUAAGAGAUGAUAAGAACCGUUGUCUGGUAUUGAGACGUAUAUUAUCUGAUGUGUAUGGAAGUGUAUAGAGAGACAUGAAGGUGGGGAAACCAGGAGGAUUGGGUGUCCUUCGGAGUUCAUGUUGGCCUGGCAGUGGGAGGAGAAAAACAAAACGAAGCAUCAACUGCCGCACAUUGAGUCAACACUUUCAACGAGCUGUGCACCACGACCCCAAGAUCCCUAUCCUGGUCAGUCACCAACAGCUCAGACACCAUCAGCGGGGCGAGAGGAGGAAGCAAGAAAACCCCAGCAAGGACCAAGACAAGUUCCUCAGCACUCAGAACAGUUCCCAUGUAAUAGACAGCUUGCUCCAAUGAGUUUUAGCACCAGUCCAAACCUUUACUUUCCCUCACAUUGACCUUGUGGCCUAUCCCAGGAUCGGCUCUCUUUCUGAAGAGCAGAGUCACUCAGUGCCUGGAGAUUUGUACCCCACCACAGUUUUGUUAAUUCUAGAUGAGUUUGCAGCAUGUCUGGCAAGCAGGGGAUAUGGCUCUUGGAGGAGAGAGUAGGGCUGUGCAUUUGUGUCAGCCUGACAAACAUGUCAGACCCAAUGUGCCCUCUGUUGGGCACUAACACUUCCAAGUCACUUCCUGUUUGUGGCUUGAGAUAACAAUGGUGGAUAACAAUGGAGAUAACAAUGGUCAUAACAAUGGUGACUUUUGUUUCAUAGUGUGUUAAAUGUUGCUUUACUUUGGAAAACUGCUUAGUUCAUCGGAAAAUUGGCAUAUGAAUGUUUUAAAUAUAUAAACGAACCCAAUGAGGACCUACACACAAUCGGUGUGGAGACAGGAGGGUUUGGCGGGGAGAGAGGGUCAAGCCCACUCUCCCCGCAUAUGAGCAGUCGUUGAGCCCCGGGUGGCCAGAUCGCCUGCCCACAUGAUUACCGGCUCUCUCACAGAGCUGGUAGGGGUGAUGGGGAUUGAGGGCUCUGCACAAGUGUGUGGGGCAUUCUGGGGAGACCCCUGAGGCUGGGAGGCUUGUUGUAGGCACCCGGUCGGGGGUCUCCUUGUGCACUGCAGCGACUCAUGAUCACAGAAAUUGGGUUAGCGGAGCACUCACUCUGCUAAUCUUGUUUUAGGGGAGGGGUACUUAGGCAGGCUAGCUGCCGCUGAACCACAGGGUUUGCCUGUGGUUGUAGUUCUCACAACUGCUCAAAAGAGGGCUGGGCUCCCUUAGCUCACUUUCAAGUGGUCAUGAGAAUAGCCUCAAUAUGUAAUUAAUCUUAUUUUCCUGGAUCAGCUAUGAAUGAGGAAUGUGUUCCUAAAACAUCUUUAUUUUGGGUUAGCAGACAGCACCCUGCCAUAUGCUUGGAACUGUGGGACUAGUAACAACAAUGAAGACUGAAAGGGAAUCAUCCCUAAAUACCUCUCUUUGUCUCACUGUCAAAGAGAAAGAAGCUGGCAAAAGUAGACCCCCUGAGUCAAAAACAUUCUCUAGGGAAGUAACAAACUCUAUUUUGCAAGAGAAAUAGCAUGACCUAAUCUUCUCCAUAGUAACUCAAGAUUGGCAUGAGGACUCCCCAUCCCACAGUCAACUGCUAAUGAGCUGGCCAACGACCAGAAGGAGGUAAACUCGUUAAAAUGUAGGGAAAUUAUCUUUGCACCUGGAGAACCAUCUCCUGUCCAGAUAAAGCAUUGAGGUCAGCCAUUCAAUCUUCCAUGUACACUUCACCCAAACCAUUUCCAGCCUUUUGUCCACUGGGUUUGCACCGAAGGUGAUCAGUUUAUGUAACAAUGAGUCUCUUUGUUAAGCCUACAUUUCAGCACCCUCCAGCCAGGGUAUGUGACUUGUACGUGACCGCAGGGCAUGAAUUUGCCUACUUGUACUCAGCACCUUUAUUGGAACCUAUUACUGGAUUCUUCAUGGGCACCUGAACAGUGGUCUGCCUGGAUUUACGCCAUACUGGUUCUCAAGCUUGCGAGUGCUAGCUCUAUGCCACUUACCUUUUGUUCCCUGCCUUUCUGGUUCCUUCCCACUUCAAGGAGACCUGCUCAGCUGCCUCUUUACAAGUGCACCAGACACACCAAUGGGUCAGGAUCGGUAAUAUUAAUCUCCUGCCCCUAUAAAUCUCCUCACCCCCUUCUCUUCCCUCUUCAAGCCUCCACUUUAGCCCUUUCUACGGCACACCUUAAGCUGAUUUAUCUACAAUUCUGACCUUCACCUAAAAUUCCUCUUUGUGAGAUUCUUGUUCAGACUGCUCCUUAAGAUUCCAUUGCCUGCCUAACCAAUCUCUUCAUUUCCUGUACCCCUUCCCCCUCAAAUAAAUCUUUAAACUGCAUUUCCACCUUUUCGUUAUUUCCAGACCAAAACUCUGCUCAGAUUAAAACUGUGGUAGACUGCUCCCCCCAUAGUCAAGCUGAUUCCUGAUGUUAGCCCAAAAGCAUAGUUAGAGCACUC